CAGUGGCGGACGGGUGCGUAACACGUGAGGAACAUGACUUUCGGCGGGGGAUAGCCGGCCCAACGGCCGGGUAAUACCGCGUACGACCUCUCGGGGACAUCCCCGGUUGGUGAAAGCAGCAAUGCACCGAAAGAGUGCCUCGCGGCCUAUCAGCUAGUUGGUGGGGUAACGGCUCACCAAGGCGACGACGGGUAGCUGGUCUGAGAGGAUGGCCAGCCACAUUGGGACUGAGACACGGCCCAGACUCCUACGGGAGGCAGCAGUGGGGAAUAUUGCGCAAUGGGCGAAAGCCUGACGCAGCGACGCCGCGUGUGGGAUGACGGCCUUCGGGUUGUAAACCACUGUCGGGAGGGACGAAUGCGCCGCAAGGCGAGUGGCGGUACCUCCAAAGGAAGCACCGGCUAACUCCGUGCCAGCAGCCGCGGUAAUACGGAGGGUGCGAGCGUUGUCCGGAAUCACUGGGCGUAAAGGGCGCGUAGGCGGCCUGAUAAGUAGGGGGUGAAAUCUUGCGGCUUAACCGCAAGGCUGCCUUCUAAACUGUCAGGCUAGAGCACAGUAGAGGCAGGUGGAAUUCCCGGUGUAGCGGUGGAAUGCGUAGAGAUCGGGAAGA
rnacentral:rRNA from 1 species